rnacentral:sRNA from 1 species
AUUCUGCCCGUGCAGGGAAGGAUGAGAAGCUUCGACCAAGUUCGAUUCGAGCGCAGCGAGAAAGCGUUGCCGCAGGCAACGACCCGAAGGGUGAGGCGCGAAGCGACGAAUAAUCCUUCCCCGCCACCA